CGAUUCACCAUUACAACACUGACUUCAGCAGCGAUUGCCUCAGUCUUUCCAAAACUCUAUGAAGAAGAAAAAUCCAAAUUCUAUGUCUUUUCUUCCCCGACCCGAAGCAUGAAUCUUCUCUCUCUAAUUCCCUUGAUCUUCAAAAAAAACCUCCCAUGAAAAAAAACCCGAACUGGUAACCUUGCAAAAGCUUGAAAAACUAGCUCCCCCCCGA
rnacentral:lncRNA from 1 species